rnacentral:rRNA from 1 species
UACGUAGGGGGCAAGCGUUGUCCGGAAUCAUUGGGCGUAAAGAGCGUGUAGGCGGUUCGGUAAGUCCGCUGUAAAAGUCCAGGGCUCAACCCUGGAAAGCCGGUGGAAACUGUCGAACUAGAGUCCGGAAGAGGCGAGUGGAAUUCCUGGCGUAGCGGUGAAAUGCGCAGAUAUCAGGAGGAACACCAAUGGCGAAGGCAGCUCGCUGGGACGGUACUGACGCUGAGACGCGAAAGCGUGGGGAGCAAACAGG